GCACCCGAAGAGCUCAGUCGGUAGAGCGCUGGAACGGUGAUCCACAGUGCCGAGUUCAAGUCUCGGCGGUCGCU